AAUAGAAAACACACCCCUGGUGGAGAUUUAAGAUGCUAAUGACACAUGCGACGUGUGAGCAAGCAGGUGCAGUUACUGCGCGUGUGCACCCAGAGGACCCCCCCAGAACAUGCUUCCUAGCAACACCUCUGCCCACCCGCUGAUUCUCUCGGCACCACGGGAACCACCUUCUCUACUCUCACUGAACACCCCUGGGAUGUAUCUGUAAAAAUUGGAACACCUUUCGGCUAGGUACAAUAGGGACUUGCCCAGCUGGAGCUGCUCGCACUGGGACUUCACACCAUCCAGGGCCAGAGAAACUGCUCCCCUUAUGGGAGGUCCCAAAUGGAGAGGGGACCAUUAUGACACAUGUCCCAUAAAUGAUCUAAUUUAUAGACUCACAUCUAUAAAUGAUCUAAUCCAAUGGAAGC